AAUCAAUAAGCUUAUAAGCGUAUAUUUUGAAAAUAUAAGAAAGAAAUUUUUAUUUCUAUUGAUUU
rnacentral:tRNA from 1 species